rnacentral:misc_RNA from 1 species
GAAAUGCGAUACGUAAUAUGAAUUGCAGAUUUUCGUGAAUCAUCGAAUCUUUGAACGCACAUUGCGCCCUGUGGUAUUCCACAGGGCAUGCCUGUUUGAGCGUCAUUUCUCCCUCAAACCUCUGGUUUGGCGUUGAGUGAUACUCGGUUUACUUGAAAAACAUGAAAAGCAUAACUAUUAGGUUUUACCAACUCGUUAUACUAAUCUACAAGUUUGACCUCAAAUCAGGUAGGACUACCCGCUGAACUUAA